AAUGAACGCUGGCGGCAGGCCUAACACAUGCAAGUCGAACGCCCCGCCAGGGAAGUGGCACACUUGUGAGUAACGCGUGGCAGUCUACUCAUCCCUACAUAAUAACCCAUUUAUACGUGUGCUAAUACCGUAUACGCCCUACGCUGGUAGGAUUUAUCUGGGAUGGAUGAGCCCACGUUGGAUUAGCUAGUUGGUCGGUUAAAGGGCUACCAAGGCGACGAUCCACAGCUGGUCAGAGAGGAUCGGCAGCCACAUUGGGAGUGAGACACGGGCGAAAAUCCUACGGGAGGGAGCAGUGGGGAAUAGUGGACAAUGGGCGGAAGGCUGAACCACCCAUGCCGCGUAAGUGAUGUAGGCAGUAAAGUAGAAAAGCUCUUUCAACGGAGAAGAUAAUGACGGUAACCAAAGAAAAAGCCACGGCUAACUUCGUG
rnacentral:rRNA from 1 species